rnacentral:rRNA from 1 species
GACGAACGCUGGCGGCAGGCCUCACACAUGCAAGUCGAACGAGCGGCGGACGGGUGAGUAAUGUCUGGGAAACUGCCCGAUGGAGGGGGAUAACUACUGGAAACGUUAGCUAAUACCGCAUACCAUCAGAUGUGCCCAGAUGGGAUUAGCUGGUAGGUGGGGUAACGGCUCACCUAGGCGACGAUCCCUAGCUGGUCUGCGAGGAUGACCAGCAACAUUGGAAUAGAGACGCGGUCCAGACUCCUACGGGAGGCAGCAGUGGGGAAUAUUGCACAAUGGGCGAAAGCCUGAUGCAGCCAUGCCGCGUGUGUGAAGAAGGCCUUCAGGUUGUAAAGCACUUUCAGCGGGGAGGCGUUACCCGCAGAAGAAGCACCGGCUAACUCCGUGCCAGCAGCCGCGGUAAUUC